rnacentral:lncRNA from 1 species
UUUAUUGUAUAAAACAAUAAAAAAUAACUUCAUCAGCAACAUUUUAUAUUGGCAAAUUUCCAAUGAAGUUAUUUACAUAAAGUUAUUGGCAAAUAAAAAUAGAAAAUGACAUCAUAGUCAUGUCUGGCAAAUGUCCAACAUACAUUAUCUAAAAACAUUUUAGAUAAGAUAAGGAAAAAAAAGCUUCAUCAGCAACAUUUUAUAUUAGCAAAUUUCCAAUGAAGUUAUUUACAUAAAGUUAUUGGCAAAUAAAAAUAGAAAAUGACAUCAUAGUCAUGUCUGGCAAAUUUCCAACAUAUAUUAUCAACUACUAUUCUAUACAAAGAAAGAUAACUCUAAUUGAAAAUUAAUUGCUAUUGCACAAUAUUGUGCAAUUAGAUAUUUCUUGCUAUUGUGCAAUACUGUGCAAUUGAAAAUGUCUUGCUAUUGCACAAUACUUGAUAUGGAAUCCUGAUUUGGACCAACUUGAAAACUGGGCCAUAAUAUCAAAAUCAAAGUACAUAUUUAGAUAAAGCAUAUUAAUAAGCCCAAGAAUUUAAUUUUUGUUAAAAUCAAACUUAGUUUAAUU